UUAGGCCUUGACAUACUAAGAACUUUCCAGAGAUGGAUUGGUGCCUUCGGGAACUUAGAUACAGGUGCUGCAUGGCUGUCGUCAGCUCGUGUCGUGAGAUGUUGGUUAAGUCCGCAACGAGCGCAACCCUUUUCCUUAUUUGCCAGCGGGUAAUGCCGGGAACUUUAAGGAUACUGCCAGUGACAAACUGGAGGAAGGCGGGGACGACGUCAAGUCAUCAUGGCCCUUACGGCCAGGGCUACACACGUGCUACAAUGGUCGGUACAAAGGGUUGCUACCUCGCGAGAGGAUGCUAAUCUCAAAAAGCCGAUCGUAGUCCGGAUCGCAGUCUGCAACUCGACUGCGUGAAGUCGGAAUCGCUAGUAAUCGCGGAUCAGAAUGCCGCGGUGAAUACGUUCCCGGGCCUUGUACACACCGCCCGUCACACCAUGGGAGUUUGUUGCACCAGAAGUAGGUAGUCUAACCGCAAGGAGGACGCUUACCACGGUGUGGCCGAUGACUGGGGUGAAGUCGUAACAAGGUAAGCGUAGAUGA
rnacentral:rRNA from 1 species